AGUGGAUGGGGAGCAACCUAGUUGUGCGUGUGUAAAGGUAGUGCCAAGAAAAGCGGUGAUCAUGAUGAAAAUCAAUUCCCGGUACCCGAAACCGACACAGGUGGGCAAGUAGAGAAUACUAAGGGGCGCGAGGUAACUCUCUCCAAGGAACUCGGCAAAAUGACCCCGUAACUUAGGGAGAAGGGGUGCCACCGAGAGGUGGUCGCAGUGAAGAGGCCCAGGCGACUGUUUAGCAAAAACAUAGGUCUCUGCAAACUCGAAAGAGGAGGUAUAGGGGCUGACGCCUGCCCAGUGCCGGAAGGUUAAAGAAGUUGGUCAGUCUUAGGAUAAAGCUAGCGACUGAAGCCCCGGUGAACGGCGGCCGUAACUAUAACGGUCCUAAGGUAGCGAAAUUCCUUGUCGGGUAAGUUCCGACCCGCACGAAAGGCGUAACGAUCUGGGCGCUGUCUCGGAGAGAGGCUCGGCGAAAUAGGAUUGUCUGUGAAGAUACGGACUACCUGCAUUUGGACAGAAAGACCCUAUGAAGCUUUACUAUAGCUUGGAAUUGUGUUCGGGCUUCCUGUGCGCAGGAUAGGUGGGAGGCGAAGAAGGUACUCUUGUGGGGAUACUGGAGCCAACGGUGAGAUACCACUCUCAGGAGGCUAGAAUUCUAACUUAAUUAAGGACAGUUUCAGGUGGGUAGUUUGACUGGGGCGGUCGCCUCCAAAAAGGUAACGGAGGCGUACAAAGGUUCCCUCAGACUGGUUGGAAAUCAGUCGCAGAGUGCAAAGGCAGAAGGGAGCUUGACUGCGAGAAGUACAGUUCGAGCAGGGUGGAAACACGGUCUUAGUGAUCCGACGGUGCUGUGUGGAAGGGCCGUCGCUCAACGGAUAAAAGUUACUCUAGGAUAACAGGCUGAUCUCCCCCAAGAGUUCACAUCGACGGGGAGGUUUGGCACCUCGAUGUCGGCUCAUCGCAACCUGGGGCGGAAGUACGUCCCAAGGGUUGGGCUGUUCGCCCAUUAAAGCGGUACGUGAGCUGGGUUCAGAACGUCGUGAGACAGUUCGGUCCAUAUCCGAUGUAGGCGUGAGAAUAUUGAGAGGAGCCUUCCUUAGUACGAGAGGACCGGGAAGGACGCACCGCUGGUGUACCUGUUAUGAUGCCAAUUGUAAACGCAGGGUAGCCAAGUGCGGAGAGGAUAACCGCUGAAAGCAUCUAAGUGGGAAGCCCACCUCAAGAUGAGUAUUCUGGUGUAAGGUCACGGGAAGACGACCCGUAAAUAGGCACGAGGUGGAAGUGCAGAGAUGUAUGAAGCCGAAGUGUACUAAUAGACCGUCGGCUUGACC
rnacentral:rRNA from 1 species